rnacentral:rRNA from 1 species
CGUAGGCAGCGAGCGUUGUUCGGAGUUACUGGGCGUAAAGCGUGCGUAGGCGGUGUCUUAAGUUUGUUGUGAAAUCUCCCGGCUUAACCGGGAGGGUGCGGCGAAUACUGAGAUGCUGGAGUGCCGGAGAGGUAAGCGGAAUUCCUGGUGUAGCGGUGAAAUGCGUAGAUAUCAGGAGGAACACCUGCGGUGUAGACGGCUUACUGGACGGUAACUGACGCUGAGGCACGAAAGCGUGGGUAGCAAACAGGAUUAGAUACCCUGGUAGUCCACGCCCUAAACGAUGCAUACUUGGUGUGGGCAGUUCAGUCUGUCCGUGCCGAAGCUAACGCGAUAAGUAUGCCGCCUGGGGAGUACGGUCGCAAGGCUG